rnacentral:rRNA from 1 species
UACGAAGGGUGCAAACGUUGCUCGGAAUUAUUGGGCGUAAAGCGCACGUAGGCGGCUUUGCAAGUCGGAUGUGAAAUCCCUCGGCUCAACCAAGGAAGUGCAUCCGAAACUGCAGAGCUUGAGUACUUAAGAGGAUCGCGGAAUUCCCGGUGUAGAGGUGAAAUUCGUAGAUAUCGGGAGGAACACCAGUGGCGAAGGCGGGUCUCUGGACAGUUCCUGACGCUGAGGCACGAAGGCCAGGGGAGCAAACGGG